rnacentral:rRNA from 1 species
UACGGAGGUGCAAGCAUUAAUCGGAUUUAUUGGGCGUAAAGGGCGCGUAGGCGGCCGCAUAAGUCAGAUGUGAAAUCCUGGGGCUUAACCUCAGAACAGCAUUUGAAACUGUGCGGCUAGAGGGUAGUCGGAGAAAACGGAAUUCCACGUGUAGCGGUGAAAUGCGUAGAUAUGUGGAAGAACACCGGUGGUGAAGACGGUUUUUCCGGGAUGACACUGACGCUGAGGCGCGAAAGCUAGGGGAGC